GAAAUUGAUUAUUUUUGUAAACUGUAUUUGUCUGUGUUGUUACUUUAUUCAUUGAAGCCACCCAAUUUGCCAAGAACUCCAGAAAAUCCUUCAGAUAUUUAAUUGUUAUUGAAUACUAUUGAUUGUGGUAUACGUGAAAUACUCCAAGUAAUACAUUAUUGCUAUAUUAGUAGGUUAACGUAAUAAUUAAAGAUAACUUUAAUGAGACUGAUCGUGUUAUUGAUUUGAGACUGGUUAAUAACACCGAGUGCUGCUAAGCAGCACACGUCCCAUUGCACCUACACUGGACAAAGCAAAGAACCUAAAGAAAGGGUUAGAUCCUCCUGCCCCUCCUCCUACGAAUUACCAGUGAGCAUGUACCUGGGUCGAUUCCUCAAACCCUACUUCAAAGACAAACUGACAGGACUGGUAAGAUCUCAAAUGUGAUAUGGGCAAAAAAAAUGAAUUUGGUUCACCUUUGUAGACAAAAGGACAAAGUGCGUCUGUGUGCAGGGAUCACCUGCUAAUCAGGAGACAAGAGACAAGGCCAGCAAGCUGACAGGAUUUCCAGAUGACGACAGAAUGAAAACGAAACGAUAUGGGAAGGACAGCCUUCAUGUGUCUCCAGACGUACCAGCGCUUUGUCUCGAAGACAGUGAAACGCAGUAAGUGGACCCCUGAUGAGGACAACCAGCUGAGAGAGCUGGUGGAAAAAAUGAGGAUCGGAAACUUCAUCCCCUAUACGCAGAUCAGUUACUUCAUGGAGGGCCGGGAGCCCAGUCAGCUGAUCUACAGGUGGAACCACGUCUUGGAUCCCACGCUAAGGAAAGGUCAUUGGACCUAAGAGGAGGACCGGCUUCUCCUUCAAGCUGUCGCUCGUCAUGGGGAGAAAAAUGGGUAGAAAAUCAAGUCUGGACGGACACUUCCUGCAGAGACAGAUACUAUGACACUCUGAAGUCAGGAACAAAGCGAGGUACAUUCAGUGAAGAAGAGAAAGAGCUGCUGCGGACACUGGUCCGGAAACACGGUGUCGGCACGUACAUGUCUAGAACGGAGGUUCCUGUCACCUCCAGAAAUGUAGUAUCAUGCCAAAUUGUUACACAUAAAAUGUAUACUAUGUUUCAAAAUGAAAAUGUAGUUUAUGCUAACUGCACUUUUGAUUAGAAUUGGAAUUAGAGAAGUAAAAUUCUGAGUGUCACUGUCUCUCUAGUGGCUCUGGUGGGCCGCAUUAAAUGACAUUAUGGACCAGAUUUGGCCUGCGGGCCUCGAGUUCAAAACGUUUACAAGGGGAACCAAAUGCCAUUUGUUGUGUCUGUACCAUAGUUUGAGCACCACCGGCCAAGAGUAUUUCAGGUGACAUAGAAGUAACAAAUUCAGUAUUGAUUAGUCAUUAACUUAACUCUACUUCCAAAAUGUUCCUUGUCCCUGUUCUAAAUGUAUCUUAAACAUGGCAAAAAAUACUAACUUGUCCAAUGGUAAACCUGAUGAGAAAAACAAGCAACAACAGUCACAGACUCCACCUUUAGGUCCAAGUCUGUCCACGAGUGUAGUGACUCCUGGCGGAUGUGUCCUCCAAGCGCACUCCCAGCUCCGAGGCCCACGCCUUGUCGUCACUCCCAACCCUCCCACCAUCCCCGCUGCUCGUCGGCUCCUCCCUUGUCAGAGACUCCUCGCACCUCAACCACCGUUAGUCCCCGGAAAUCUGAGCCCUCUGAACCAACUAUCUCCUCCUGCUGUCCCCACAAUCUUCUCUUCUGGUCCUCUCCCUCAGACCUUCAUCUUACAACCCAUCCCAAACCCGUGCCUACUGAAUCCUCCCCCUACUCCUUUAUCUGAAGCCUCACAGCCUGUUGGAGGGGGGGUCAAACCAGCCACUGCUGGACCCC